rnacentral:rRNA from 1 species
ACUCAAAUGAAUUGACGGGGACCCGCACAAGCAGCGGAGCGUGUGGUUUAAUUCGAUGCGACGCGAAGAACCUUACCAAGGCUUGACAUGCACCUGCAACUGCUUGAAAGAGCAGCCUCUUCGGACAGGCGCACAGAUGCUGCAUGGCUGUCGUCAGCUCGUGUCGUGAGAUGUUGGGUUAAGUCCCGCAACGAGCGCAACCCUUGUCCUUAGUUGCAAAUCUAGGGAGACCGCCGGAAACAAACCGGAGGAAGGUGGGGAUGACGUCAAGUCAGCAUGGCUCUUACGUCUUGGGCUACACACACGCUACAAUGGCCGGUACAGUGAGAAGCCACCCCGCGAGGGGGAGCAGACCUCCAAAGCCGGCCCCAGUUCAGAUUGCACUCUGCAACCCGAGUGCAUGAAGUCGGAGUUGCUAGUAACCGCGUGUCAGCAUAGCGCGGUGAAUAUGUUCCCGGGUCUUGCACACACCGCCCGU